rnacentral:rRNA from 1 species
GCCGGACCUGACUGCUAUCGGAUUGAUACUAAGCCAUGCGAGUCUUUGUAGUAAUACAAGGCAUACGGCUCAGUAACACGUAGUCAACCUACCCUAUGGACAAGAAUAAUCUCGGGAAACUGGGCAUAAUUCUUGAUAGAUCAUAAUGCCUGGAAUGGUUUAUGGUUAAAAUGAUUCGUCGCCAUAGGAUGGGACUGCGGCCUAUCAGCUUGUUGGUGAGGUAAUGGCCCACCAAGGCGAUUACAGGUACGGGCUCUGAGAGGAGAAGCCCGGAGAUGGGUACUGAGACACGGACCCAGGCCCUAUGGGGCGCAGCAGGCGAGAAAACUUUGCAAUGUGCGAAAGCACGACAAGGUUAAUCCGAGUGAUUUCUGCUAAAGAAAUCUUUUGCCAGUCGUAAAACCGCUGGUGAAUAAGGGGUGGGCAAGUUCUGGUGUCAGCCGCCGCGGUAAAACCAGCACCUCAAGUGGUCAGGAUGAUUAUUGGGCCUAAAGCAUCCGUAGCCGGCUUUGUAAGUUUUCGGUUAAAUCCAUGUGCUCAACGCAUGGGCUGCCGAAAAUACUGCAUAGCUAGGGAGUGGGAGAGGUAGACGGUACUCAGUAGGUAGGGGUAAAAUCCUUUGAUCUAUUGAUGACCACCUGUGGCGAAGGCGGUCUACCAGAACACGUUCGACAGUGAGGGAUGAAAGCUGGGGGAGCAAACCGGAUUAGAUACCCGGGUAGUCCCAGCCGUAAACUAUGCAAACUCAGUGAUGCAUUGGCUUGUGGCCAAUGCAGUGUUGCAGGGAAGCCGUUAAGUUUGCCGCCUGGGAAGUACGUACGCAAGUAUGAAACUUAAAGGAAUUGGCGGGGGAGCACCACAAGGGUGAAGCCUGCGGUUCA